CUACGGGAGGCACCAGUGAGGAAUAUUGCACAAUGGGGGGAACCCUGAUGCAGCAACGCCGCGUGGAGGAUGACGCAUUUCGGUGUGUAAACUCCUUUUAUAUGUCAAGAAAAUGACGGUAGCAUAUGAAUAAGCACCGGCUAACUCCGUGCCAGCAGCCGCGGUAAUACGGAGGGUGCAAGCGUUACUCGGAAUCACUGGGCGUAAAGGACGCGUAGGCGGGCUUGUAAGUCAGGUGUGAAAUCCUACAGCUUAACUGUAGGACUGCACUUGAAACUACGAGCCUAGAGUAUGGGAGGGGCAGAUGGAAUUAGUGGUGUAAGGGUAAAAUCCGUAGAUAUCACUAGGAAUACCUAAAGCGAAGGCGAUCUGCUGGAACAUAACUGACGCUAAGGCGUGAAAGCGUGGGGAGCAAACAGGAUUAGAUACCCCUGUAGUC
rnacentral:rRNA from 1 species